AGUGAACGCUGGCGGUAGGCCUAACACAUGCAAGUCGAACGGCAGCACAGUAAGAGCUUGCUCUUACGGGUGGCGAGUGGCGGACGGGUGAGGAAUACAUCGGAAUCUACUUUUUCGUGGGGGAUAACGUAGGGAAACUUACGCUAAUACCGCAUACGACCUACGGGGGAAAGCAGGGGAUCUUCGGACCUUGCGCGAUUGAACGAGCCGAUGUCGGAUUAGCUAGUUGGCGGGGUAAAGGCCCACCAAGGCGACGAUCCGUAGCUGGUCUGAGAGGAUGAUCGGCCACACUGGAACUGAGACACGGUCCAGGCUCCUACGGGAGGCAGCAGUGGGGAAUAUUGGACAAUGGGCGCAAGCCUGAUCCAGCCAUACCGCGUGGGUGAAGAAGGCCUUCGGGUUGUAAAGCCCUUUUGUUGGGAAAGAAAAGCAGCAGGUUAAUACCCCGCUGUUCUGACGGUACCCAAAGAAUAAGCACCGGCUAACUUCGUG
rnacentral:rRNA from 1 species